AAAAUCAUAAGUGGUUCGGUCUUGUCAUUUCUUCUAAUUGAUUGAUCACUCGAGAUACAGUAAUAUUUUAAAAUUAAGAAUAAAGUUAAUAUAUAUCUCUUAUGUAAAUUACACUGCCAUCUUAUUUAGUAUUAUGUCUCAUUGUAAAACCUAAAAAAAAAAAGAAAAAAAAAACAUAAUGCUUCACACAAUAUUCCAUAAC
rnacentral:lncRNA from 1 species